ACUUAAGCCUAAUUUCUAUUUGGUUGUUAGUUGUCGCUGGCACGACAAGCGGUAGUUGUGAAGUAGUCUAAUAUAAUAAUAGUUUUGUAUGUGUUAUAUGCAAAUCAGUCUUAAUAUAAUGAUUGCAGAGUUUUGUAAAGUUUUGUUGACGCUCUAUUACAUCAGCCACUUGUCGUGCCAGCGACAACUUACGACCAAAUGGAAACUAGGCUUUAGU